CCAACGUCCACCCAGUUGAUUUGGCAUUGCAAGACAGAGAUAAAGUUCUUCGCUUGCUUAAAGGAAUCUUCAUGUAAUGCAAACUCUUAUGAAGCAACUAGCAGACAAAUGCAGAAGUGAGUGAUCAUUUAAAGUUGGUGAUCUGAUUUAUCUCCGUUUGCAACCUUACCGACAGACUACAGUGGCUGUGCAUGAUGGAAUAC
rnacentral:lncRNA from 1 species